rnacentral:rRNA from 1 species
CAGUCGCCGCGGUAAUACGUAGGUCCCGAGCGUUGUCCGGAUUUAUUGGGCGUAAAGCGAGCGCAGGCGGUUAGAUAAGUCUGAAGUUAAAGGCUGUGGCUUAACCAUAGUACGCUUUGGAAACUGUUUGACUUGAGUGCAAGAGGGGAGAGUGGAAUUCCAUGUGUAGCGGUGAAAUGCGUAGAUAUAUGGAGGAACACCGGUGGCGAAAGCGGCCCUCUGGCCUGUAACUGACGCUGAGGCUCGGAAGCGUGGGGAGCAAACAAGAUUAGAUACCCCGGUAGUCCCUGUCUCUUAUACA